rnacentral:rRNA from 1 species
CACGGGGGGAGCAAGCGUUGUUCGGAAUCACUGGGCGUAAAGGGCGUGUAGGCGGUCAGGUAAGUGAGAUGUGAAAUGCCCCGGCUCACCCGGGGACCGGCAUCUCAUACUGCUUGGCUUGAGUACGGGAGAGGAUGUGGGAAUUCCUGGUGUAGCGGUGAAAUGCGUAGAUAUCAGGAGGAACACCGGUGGCGAAGGCGGCACUCUGGGCCGAUACUGACACUGAGGAGCGAAAGCGUGGGGAGCGAACAGG